GUGAGUCAUCGAAUCUUUGAACGCACAUUGCGCCCAUUAGUAUUCUAGUGGGCAUGCCUGUUCGAGCGUCAUUUCAACCCUUAAGCCUAGCUUAGUGUUGGGAACCUACAUUGGGCCCAAGCUACCCUGUAGCAUGGUUACCCUGUAGCUCCUGAAAUACAACGGCGGAUUUAUAGUUAUCCUCUGAGCGUAGUAAUUUAUUAUCUCGCUUUUGUUAGGUGCUGUAACUCCUGCCGCUAAACCCCCAAUUUUUUAAUGGUUGACCUCGGAUCAGGUAGGAAUACCCGCUGAACUUAAGCAUAUCAAUAAGCGGAGGA
rnacentral:misc_RNA from 1 species